UACCCUUCGCAGUCAUGCGAUCCACCGCAAAAUCCAGUUGAAACUUCAUCCUCCGAUGGCAGCGGAUCAGAACCUGAUGCUGACUCUGAGCCAGACCACAGCGAGCGGCAGUGCAUGGAGGACUGCAAGGACGAGCUGGAUGAAGACCUGUUUCCAGGAUCCAAGGUAACAAGAGCUGAAAGCUUGUUGAUGGUAAUGGCUCACAGCCUGCGCCAUGGUUCUUCAAAGGAAGCCACAGAAAGCUUACUCCAGCUUCUGAGUGCUCAUUUGCCGGCAGGAGUGUCUUACCCAACAUCAAAGUACACCUUCUUUCGGCACUUCUGUGGUGCUGGCAAGCAAUAUGUAAAGCACUUUUAUUGCAGCAGAUGCAGUGCAUACAUCGGCGAACUGGUGCAAGCAGAAAAUGUGACAUGCAACCAGUGCAGCUUAGCACAUAUUGGUGAAACCUUAAUGAAAAGUUCAUCUUUUUUUCUUGUUAUGGAUCUAAAGAGCCAAAUCCGUGACAUCUUGGAAUCAAAAAGUCUGCAAGAAACCAAGAAAGCUGCAUCUUUUGAUGUGAGUGACAUUACUCAGAGUUAUCAGUACCACAAGUUGCCAUUGGGACCAAAUGAUGUCACUUUAACUUUUAAUACUGAUGGUGUGCCCCUUUUUGAAAACUCUAAAUCCAGUAUGUGGCCUCUGCUUGCAAUGAUAAAUGAGCUUCCCUACAAGCAACGUAUUGAGAACCUCCUGCUAGCAGGACUUUGGUUUGGUCCAGGAAAGCCAGCAAUGAACUGUUUUUUAAUUCCUUUUAUAAAGGCCAUGAAUGAGCUGUCAUCGAGUGGAAUUCUGUGGAACGACAAAGAUGGAGUGCAGCAGACGUCAAAGGUGUUCCCAGGUCCAUGUGCUGUGGAUAGUGUCGCUAGGUGUGAGCUGAUGAACAUGACUCAGUUUAAUGGUGCAUAUGGGUGUGCAUGGUGCGAAGACCAGGGACAAGUUGUUCCUAAAGGCAAGGGAUUUUGUCGCGUAUAUCCGCCAAGUGCCUCAACACCCAAGCUGAGAACACAUGAAUCCUUUCUUCGGCAUGCCAGAAAAGCUAAGGAAUCCCCAAGUUGCGGCAUCAAAGGAGCAAGCGCACUCACACAGCUUGCAUUUUUCAGAUUUGGUACAGGAUUUGUUGUGGACUAUAUGCAUGCUGUUUGUUUAGGAUUUGUUAGGGCUACAUAUUUCACGUGGCUGAAGUCUGAGCGCUGCCGAAAAUUUCAUCUUCGACGUAAUCUUGAGGAUGCAAACAGCUGUCUGUUGAGCCUCACUCCAACGUGGGAGCUGUCAAGGCUCCCGAGGUCAUUGCAUGAUGCAAAGGACUGGAAGGCUGCCGAGUGGAGAAAUUGGCUGCUAUAUUAUUCACCACUAGUACUGAAAGGGCGCCUUCCAGAAAAGUACUACAAACACUGGAUGCGAUUUGUGGAAAUUAUGCAUCACCUCCUUGGCCCGUGCAUCUGUGUUGAGCAGCUGGUCAUGAUGAAAAAAGAAAUGACACAGUUUCUAUUGGAGUAUGAGGAGUUUUAUGGUACAGAGUGCAUGAGUUAUAAUUCUCACUUGCUUACGCACCUUGUGGACAGUGUCAUCAACUGGGGACCCUUGUGGGCAUAUUCCCUCUACCCAUUUGAGUCAAUGAAUGGAACACUAGGUCGGCUUGUAUGUGGAACCAGGUAUCCGCAAUUCCAGAUUGCUGACAAAUUUUGCAUCUUACAGGCCCAAACUAAAUUGUGGUCAUCGAGACACAUAGAGAAAGUGCACAGAACUCUAGAGACUUCUUUCAAAGCUCUUGUGAAGGGCUACUCCUUGCGAAAAAAUGUCGUCAGCGUUGGUUCUGUGUUACUGCUAGGCAAGGGAGACCAGAAAGCAGACAGGAAAGAAUUUCACAAGAUGGUAAUUGGGUCAUUUCGUUUCUGCACAGCACGUCUUGACAAAUCGAAAAGAAAAAAUUCUUACGUACACGCGAA